CCUACGGGUGGCUGCAGUGGGGAAUAUUGCACAAUGGGGGAAACCCUGAUGCAGCAACGCCGCGUGAGUGAAGAAGUAUUUCGGUAUGUAAAGCUCUAUCAGCAGGGAAGAAGAUUACGGUACCUGAGUAAGAAGGCCCGGCUAACUACGGUCCAGGCGCCACGGUCAUACGGAGGGGGCAAGCGUUAGCCGGAUUUACUGGGUGUAACGGGAUCGUAGACGGUGAGGCAAGUCUGAAGUGAAAGCCCGGGGCUCAACCCCGGGACUGCUUUGGAAACUGCCGGGCUGGAGUGCGGGAGAGGUAAGCGGAAUUCCUAGUGUAGCGGUGAAAUGCGUAGAUAUUAGGAAGAACAGCAGUGGCGAAGGCGGCUUGCUGGACCGUAACUGACGUUGAGGCUCGAAAGCGUGGGGAGCAAACAGGAUUAGAUACCCCUGUAGUC
rnacentral:rRNA from 1 species